rnacentral:lncRNA from 1 species
GACAGGCGGUCACGUGGCGUCCUCUCCACCGUCCCACCCAGCCCAGAAGUGACCUUUGCCGCAGACUGGGAGGCCACGCCGUGCCCACUGUGUCCCUGCAGCCCAGUGGGUAACUCUCCUCUGGGGAAGGAAGGGAGCUCCUGUGACUGUGACUGACUGUGGUGACUUGGCAGCCCGGUCACCCCGAGGCGGAUGGCACUGCGGUGGAACAGGCGGGCACCACCAAGAGGAUCUCAUAGGCCUGAGCCAAGCGGAUUAUGGGACAGGACAGGGACUCCUCCGUAGGUAAACUACAGGGGCAGCCCUACCACGUCCCUCUCCCAGGCUCGUACUCAGGGCCGCUGUGACGUCACUGCCUUCUAAGCCAUUUGGAGAGCACAUGGACUCCCCGGUACCACCGCCCACCAUGCUUGUAUGGCAGACGUUUUCCAUCCACCCAGCCACUGAGACUCUGCUUUGCAUCAAGGACUUUAGGAUCCAAGGGGCCAGCACAGCUGAGGCCAGAGAGAAAAGCCACCAGCCGAAUCUGAGUACAGAUCUUGCUCUAACUGCAGCCAGCAAUGAUUCAGCCCAA